UUAUUUAUUUAUUUGUAAUUAGUAGUUAAUGUUAUAUGUUAUUUUUUAGGUACUUGAAUAGGUUGAAACAAAUGGUUAAAAAUAGAUCACAUGUAGAGGGGUCAAUUUAUGAGGCAUAUCUAUGUUAAGAUACUUCUCAUUUUUUUUCAUAUUAUUUUGAAUCUCGUGUGCAAUCUUUGAGAAAUAGAGUAGGUCGAAAUGAUGAUGGGGGCAAACAUGAUGUAGUUCAACAAACUUUAUCAAUUUUCAAUCAUUUUGGUCGCUCAACUGGAACUUGUAAGAGUACAUAUUUGAAUGAUAGAGAAUUAGCUGUCGUACAUUUGCAUGUUCUACUAAACUGUGAAGAAGUUCAACCAUAUAUUGAGUAAGUAAAAUAAAUUGAUCUUUAUUUAUGUGUGUGUGUGUGUGUGUGUAUUUGGAAGCAUAUGAUCCAAAUAUAUGUCAAACUGAAGUGGGUGGUAGGAUUGCAUCUGAAUUUCCAAGUUGGUUUCAAACAUAUGUACAUAAUAAAAAUAACUUGGUGCAAAAUUUGUAUUUGCACCACUUAGCAUAUGGUCCUAAGAGGAAGGUUCAUACUUGGCUUAUUUAUUUUGUAAAUGGUUUUAAGUUUCAUACAGAAGAGUGAAGUGUUGGUAAGAAAAUCAUUAAUUGUGUACUUUGUGUCAAGGGUGACGACGAAGGAGUUGAAGAAAAUUACUAUUAUAGUAUUGUUAAAGAGAUUUUGCUAGUUGAAUACCUAGGAGAACCAACCAAGCAACGCCACCUCCUUUCAACUCCUUUCAACUUGGUUCCUUCUUCGGUUGUGGGUACAUGAUCAAUACAAUCUCAGACAUUUUCGAUUAAACCUUUCAUUCCUCCAAGAUAUAUUCAAAUGAUUCCUACUCCCAGAUACAAGUUGUUGCCAUCAAAAUAGCUAAAUAUUGUAAUGGAGAGAUAACUUGUAGUAUUUUUGGAAUUUGAAAAUAUUGAUGAUGCCCAUCAUUUUCAUU